UGAUUCAAAUAUGAUGAUUUGCACUCUGAUUUGAAUUGCAUUAUGAUCUAUGUGUGGUAGAAUAUGCAAUGAGAUGCGAGGUUUCAAGAGAAGGUGAUGUGUAUAGUUAUGGCAUUCUCUUACUGGAGAUGUUCACAGGGUUGAGUCCCAUCAACAACACCUUUAGAGAUAAUUUAACUCUUCAUAGUUAUGUUGCAAAAGCUUUGCCUGAACAAGUGCUCGAAAUUACGGACAACAUCCUACUUCAAGAAAGGAAGAGCCAUUUAGGCCAAUAUAGUCCUCCACGUUGGCUUUCCAAAAGCGAUGGCAUAUUUCAAGAGUGUUUGCUUAUGGUGUAUAAUAUCGGAGUUGCUUGUUCCUAUGAAGUUCCCGAAAGACGGAUGAGCAUAAGCGGAGUUGCAAACAAGCUACAUCAAAUUAGAGAGAAACUCUUUUCCUUGGGUUUACAUGGACAAGAUUGACUAGGAAUGGCUCGGUGUCGCUUUGACUCGAAAUAAUCCAAUGCCGGGAAUUGAUCUCUGUCUCUAAAGCUAUGUUUAGUCAGGCAUAGGCAAUAGUGUUUCCCCGGUCGGUGAAUAAGGAUGUACAGCUUUCGGAUUCAGCAUUCUAGCACGUGGUAAUUUGAGGACACCUAUCGGCGUUUGACGUGUGUAGCAGAAUUAUCCGAGAACGCUUGAGUAGAAUUAUGUAACUUGUGUGUAUUGGAUUUUUCUUCAGCAUUGUUAUUUCUCACGUUUA